UACGUAGGGCGCAAGCGUUGUCCGGAAUUAUUGGGCGUAAAGAGCUCGUAGGCGGUUUGUCGCGUCUGCCGUGAAAGCCCGGGGCUUAACUCCGGGUCUGCGGUGGAUACGGGCAGACUAGAGGCAGGUAGGGGAGAACGGAAUCCCCGGUGUAGCGGUGAAAUGCGCAGAUAUCGGGAGGAACACCGGUGGCGAAGGCGGUUCUCUGGGCCUGUACUGACGCUGAGGAGCGAAAGCGUGGGGAGCGAACAGG
rnacentral:rRNA from 1 species